ACUUUCUGAGUGUCUAUUUUUUUUCGGUAUAUACUCGUUCCACUACGGUGGGCAUCGGGAGGGUCUCCAUGACCUUCCAAUUUUUGGAGGCGGAAACGCCACC
rnacentral:misc_RNA from 1 species